rnacentral:tRNA from 1 species
GGAGAGGUGGCCGAGUUGGCUUAAGGCGCUCGCCUGCUAAGCGAGUGGGUGGUUAAAACUGCCUCUCGGGUUCGAAUCCCGACCUCUCCG